UUCGGCCAUAUCACGUUGAAAAACCGGUUCUCAUCCAAUCACUGAAAUUAAGUAACGUUGAACCUGGUCAGUACCUACAUGAGUGACGGCUCGUGAAUAUCAGGGGCUGUAA